rnacentral:rRNA from 1 species
UUUUUUUUUUUUUUUUUUUUUUUUUUUCCGCAGAUGAACGGCGGCGGCGUGCCUAAUACAUGCAAGUCGAACGAGUUCUCGUUGAUGAUCGGUGCUUGCACCGAGAUUCAACAUGGAACGAGUGGCGGACGGGUGAGUAACACGUGGGUAACCUGCCCUUAAGUGGGGGAUAACAUUUGGAAACAGAUGCUAAUACCGCAUAGAUCCAAGAACCGCAUGGUUCUUGGCUGAAAGAUGGCGUAAGCUAUCGCUUUUGGAUGGACCCGCGGCGUAUUAGCUAGUUGGUGAGGUAAUGGCUCACCAAGGCGAUGAUACGUAGCCGAACUGAGAGGUUGAUCGGCCACAUUGGGACUGAGACACGGCCCAAACUCCUACGGGAGGCAGCAGUAGGGAAUCUUCCACAAUGGACGCAAGUCUGAUGGAGCAACGCCGCGUGAGUGAAGAAGGCUUUCGGGUCGUAAAACUCUGUUGUUGGAGAAGAAUGGUCGGCAGAGUAACUGUUGUCGGCGUGACGGUAUCCAACCAGAAAGCCACGGCUAACUACGUGCCAGCAGCCGCGGUAAUACGUAGGUGGCAAGCGUUAUCCGGAUUUAUUGGGCGUAAAGCGAGCGCAGGCGGUUUUUUAAGUCUGAUGUGAAAGCCCUCGGCUUAACCGAGGAAGCGCAUCGGAAACUGGGAAACUUGAGUGCAGAAGAGGACAGUGGAACUCCAUGUGUAGCGGUGAAAUGCGUAGAUAUAUGGAAGAACACCAGUGGCGAAGGCGGCUGUCUGGUCUGUAACUGACGCUGAGGCUCGAAAGCAUGGGUAGCGAACAGGAUUAGAUACCCUGGUAGUCCAUGCCGUAAACGAUGAAUGCUAGGUGUUGGAGGGUUUCCGCCCUUCAGUGCCGCAGCUAACGCAUUAAGCAUUCCGCCUGGGGAGUACGACCGCAAGGUUGAAACUCAAAGGAAUUGACGGGGGCCCGCACAAGCGGUGGAGCAUGUGGUUUAAUUCGAAGCAACGCGAAGAACCUUACCAGGUCUUGACAUCUUUUGAUCACCUGAGAGAUCAGGUUUCCCCUUCGGGGGCAAAAUGACAGGUGGUGCAUGGUUGUCGUCAGCUCGUGUCGUGAGAUGUUGGGUUAAGUCCCGCAACGAGCGCAACCCUUAUGACUAGUUGCCAGCAUUUAGUUGGGCACUCUAGUAAGACUGCCGGUGACAAACCGGAGGAAGGUGGGGAUGACGUCAAAUCAUCAUGCCCCUUAUGACCUGGGCUACACACGUGCUACAAUGGAUGGUACAACGAGUUGCGAGACCGCGAGGUCAAGCUAAUCUCUUAAAGCCAUUCUCAGUUCGGACUGUAGGCUGCAACUCGCCUACACGAAGUCGGAAUCGCUAGUAAUCGCGGAUCAGCACGCCGCGGUGAAUACGUUCCCGGGCCUUGUACACACCGCCCGUCACACCAUGAGAGUUUGUAACACCCGAAGCCGGUGGCGUAACCCUUUUAGGGAGCGAGCCGUCUAAGGUGGGACAAAUGAUUAGGGUGAGCCAAAGGGGGGGGG